GUGUUUGUUAGGAAUCCAAAAACCAGUUUCAGAUUUGCAGUGCAGAUGCACCUUUUCAACUUUAGCAAUUAUUUGAUCGGUACUUAUAUUGUCCUCUGUUUAGCGAGGCAUAAAUCUAACUGCAUUGUAUAAAACAUUAAGGAAAGGAACUUGAUUGAGAAAUAACACUUCUGUAAUGAUUUCUGUGAGAAGAAAUUUUACUGCUUGUUAUAUUCUAAAAUGAAUUGAUCAAAUUCAAACAAAUAAUAGUAGCCUAAGCUUGGAAAGUGAAUGCACCUCAAUCAUAAAUUGAUAAAGUUUUGUUUACAACUGUUUGAAAAAGGAAUCCCAGUUCAACAGGUGUCAAAAAGUAAGCCAAUGAUGGCAUACUACUUUGUAUGAGACAUCAGAAAGAAGAUGAUGCUUGUUGCAUUUAUUAUUCCUAAAAUGUUAUGAUGUAUUUUAUCCUGUGAUUUUCUGCACUAAUGAGAUCAGCAUGAAGAAGCUUAAUGAAUUGGAAGAGAAAGAAUUAUGUGAAAAAUGACAGUUGGUACCAUAAAUUUUUUGAGAACACAAUUUUGGUUGGGCAGGUAAUGCUCAUCUAAUUGGAC
rnacentral:misc_RNA from 1 species